UCAGUGACAAGUGAAACUCUUGUCUCUGUAAGACUUUUCUGCAAUAAGAGAACUCGUCUCUAAAUAGAUUUACUAUUGUCACAAGAUCCUUCAAGGCAUGCCCAUUUUAUUGUAUUGGUGACAGCAAAAAGUACAUUAAGUGACAAGCUCUAUUGUCACAGAAAAGAAAUGAUUCAGUGACAAAAAAUUUAAGUUGUCAUAAAUGGUUUUAGCGAUGAAGCAAUGGCGACCGGCUAGUGACAAUAGUUUGUUGUCAGAAAAAUUCAUCAGUGACAAUAUUCCAAGUUUCAGUGACAACAUUGCUUGUCACAAAAAACUAAAUUUCUUGUAGU
rnacentral:lncRNA from 1 species